CAAUAUCACAAACAUCAAAUAGUUUAGCUGGAAUAUUUGGAAUAUAUAGAAACUUUUCUGAUAUUUCAAGUCAAGUUUAUGUAAACUUUCUGUAUAAUAUAAUUUAAUGUAAGAAAUUUUUUAUCAAUAAAGAAACAUGGGGACGUCCAUAAAUUCUAUGUUAUGCUAUUAGAGGAGGGAGAGUAUAAUAGAUUUGUGACAAUAAAUGGUAUACUUGUAUUCAUGAAGUUGUUUUCAUGAUUCCUCUAGAGCAGUGAUUCUCAACCUUCCUAAUGGCGAGACCCUUUAAUACAGUUCCUCAUGUUGUGGUGACCCC
rnacentral:lncRNA from 1 species